rnacentral:tRNA from 1 species
CUGGGGAUGUCGCUCAAUGGUGUAGUUCUUGCUUUGCAUGCACGAGGCCCUGGGUUCGAUUUCCAGUACCAAGU